CCUUCCAAGCAGGGCCAUUCUAUGAAGGUGCUGGAUAAGCACAAAGUAAUAUAAUUCAGCUUGUGGAAUAGACAGCAUCAGCCAUAAAUUGUUCAAAAAGCACACAACUGAAUUGCUUGUUUAUUUUCUCAUUUCAAUGAAACUCAGACAGAAAAUCUGCAGUUCAGAACUCAUCAGCUUUCCUCUGCAUGACAAAAAACAAAUAUACUUCCACUCCAUGUAAAUAAUUUCAUCAGCAGUCCCAAAUUUUACACCUCCCUCCUACUUAACAGAAAAAGAACAAAGAACCUUACUUCAGCAAAGUCACUUUUUAGUACUUCCUAGGAGGCAAAAACCUCAAACACUCCAACAAAUGACUCUGGAUCCUUUUUCAGUGCUUUAAAUUAUGUUUGCUAGCAUAAUCUCUCAGAAAUUAAACGAGCAACGUACAUGACAUCAACAACAUAUUUUGUUUCAUUUUCUGCUUAAAGAAUACUUAGCCAUAAACAUCAUGUUGUUACAGUCAAAGUAACUUGACAAAUCUGAGAUGAUUUGGGUUUUGGGUUAUUUUUAUUUUAAAAUUCAGAGAUGCGAUUAAAAUAAAUGAGACUAUCUGAACCGUGACAUCUGAUUAAAUUUCAGAACAUUCCAUUUCUAGAAUCUGCUGCUCACAGCCAUCAUAAAAGAAUGAGAAACCGAAGAUCUUUCGUUACUGAAGCCAGGAAGAUAACGACAGUAACAACCAUGCAGUUGUAGAAAGCUGCAAUACAAUAACUUUAAACUUUAAUAACUUUAAACCCAAACUGCUGAUCUAAUUGAAAUCUUUAGAUGUUAACUCUGUGUAGUGGAAAUACUAAGUCACAGAUUUGAGCACCUGGUAGGAAGGCAGAGCCAACCCAGGGGAGCUCAGGUGCAAGCAAUGCCCCUGAAUGAUUGAAAGGGGUGUAGCCAGGAUCCACUGCUUCCUAGACCUCAUUUAAAGGUUGGCCAGCAAGGCAGUGCUAUCUUGCUUCAGGUUACUGUGCACCUGAAGCCUUCUGAAGCCCUGGAUCUUGCUGCUCUGCUGUCACUACUGUAUAUGCCACGUGUUGUAUCCUACUACGUUUUGAAAAAUCACCUGUGUUUCUGGAUGUUGCAAGCUUUUUAUAACCACAGAGUCCUUAAUUUAGCUGGCACGGGAAGAUUACUUUCUGUUACACAAACUUCUUUGAGUUAAGAAAUCUUGGACUGCUGUCUUCCAGGUAUUUAUUA